AAAUGUAGUUUGUGGUAAUGAGUGGAAGGUUUGGGGCUUUUAUGGGAGUUUGUUUUGGUUUUGCUUUGCUUGUGAGUUUUUUUGCUUGCUUUCCUGGGAGAUGGGGGCAGUCCAAGCCCUGGAGAGAGCUCAUCCUUCCCACCCUGCUUUUAACUUGGAAGAAAUGCUGUAGAAAUCCAUGGGCAUUACCAAGGCGAAGUGUAUGAUAGAAAAAGCAGGAGGUUUUCUGUAACAAGUGAGAACAACAAGAAUUAGCUCUCUCAGCACUUCAACAAGCAGAGAUUUUUGUCUGUAAUGAGAAGAAUGAGACUUGUUUGACAUAAACUACAAAACAACACAGCAAAGAUGAAGAAGGAGGGCAGAAAUACAUUACUGAAGGAAAGAGAUGUGCAUGAUUUCCUCUCUAGGAAAGGAUGUGUGGGAACAUUCCAGGGCAUUUCAGGACUGACCUAUGCAGCAUUUGGAAGCACUCAGUGUUUCUGUGACAUCACUUCCUAGUCCAUUUGAAAUCAAGGCCAGGCUGAUGGGGUGCCGGGUCCUGGCCUGGGGGGAAAACAGGACACAGCAAUGAGCUGCAAAGAUCCAAGAGGUGUAACAACAGGUGCCAAUAUUGAGAGGAAGUCAAGCUGACAAAUCUCAGGAAGUGUAAAGGCUUCUCUGGCAUUCUCCCUCAGGGAAACUGGUAAAUUGGUCCUAUUUCUUUGAAUCUUUAAACUCUUUAGUAAUAUUAAAAUCAAAUGGGACAGAUGCAAGAGAAAUAAGGCUCCUUUCCAGCUAAGAGAAUAAAAAUUUGGAGCAUGGGCUGUCCAUCCUCCUGGACAUUCUAGAAGAUUAAGCUGAAGCUCCUAAAAACCAGCUUUCAUCAACCUUAAGACAAACCUCCUAGAAACUUCUAGCAGCUGAUUGCUCUCAUGGCUGCUCCUUCCACACUUGACUUUUGUGACAGGUUCCUGAUUUCAGCACUAGAGGGGUGAGGGUGACUGCUCUUCUCUUUCUGCUUUCUGUGAUUUACACCCUUCCCAUUAUGAGUGGUUAAUUACAUUAAAAGCAUUGUAAAACUUUG